rnacentral:rRNA from 1 species
ACCCCGGCGAGGGGAGUGAAAUAGAACCUGAAACCGUGUACGUACAAGCAGUGGGAGCCUACUUGUUAGGUGACUGCGUACCUUUUGUAUAAUGGGUCAGCGACUUAUAUUCUGUAGCAAGGUUAACCGAAUAGGGGAGCCGCAGGGAAACCGAGUCUUAACUGGGCGUUAAGUUGCAGGGUAUAGACCCGAAACCCGGUGAUCUAGCCAUGGGCAGGUUGAAGGUUGGGUAACACUAACUGGAGGACCGAACCGACUAAUGUUGAAAAAUUAGCGGAUGACUUGUGGCUGGGGGUGAAAGGCCAAUCAAACCGGGAGAUAGCUGGUUCUCCCCGAAAGCUAUUUAGGUAGCGCCUCGUGAACUCAUCUUCGGGGGUAGAGCACUGUUUCGGCUAGGGGGUCAUCCCGACUUACCAACCCGAUGCAAACUACGAAUACCGAAGAAUGUUAUCACGGGAGACACACGGCGGGUGCUAACGUUCGUCGUGAAGAGGGAAACAACCCAGACCGCCAGCUAAGGUCCCAAAGUCAUGGUUAAGUGGGAAACGAUGUGGGAAGGCACAGACAGCCAGGAUGUUGGCUUAGAAGCAGCCAUCAUUUAAAGAAAGCGUAAUAGCUCACUGGUCGAGUCGGCCUGCGCGGAAGAUGUAACGGGGCUAAACCAUGCACCGAAGCUGCGGCAGCGACGCUUAGGCGUUGUUGGGUAGGGGAGCGUUCUGUAAGCCGUUGAAGGUGGCCUGUGAGGGUUGCUGGAGGUAUCAGAAGUGCGAAUGCUGACAUAAGUAACGAUAAUGCGGGUGAAAAACCCGCACGCCGGAAGACCAAGGGUUCCUGUCCAACGUUAAUCGGGGCAGGGUGAGUCGACCCCUAAGGCGAGGCUGAAAAGCGUAGUCGAUGGGAAACAGGUUAAUAUUCCUGUACUCGGUGUUACUGCGAAGGGGGGACGGAGAAAGCUAGGUUAUCCGGGCGACGGUUGUCCCGGUUUAAGCGUGAAGGUGGAUGACUUAGGUAAAUCCGGGUCAUCGUUAACACUGAGGCGUGAUGACGAGUCACUACGGUGAUGAAGUAACCAAUGCUACGCUUCCAGGAAAAGCCUCUAAGCUCCAGGUAACAUCAAAUCGUACCCCAAACCGACACAGGUGGUCAGGUAGAGAAUACUCAGGCGCUUGAGAGAACUCGGGUGAAGGAACUAGGCAAAAUGGUGCCGUAACUUCGGGAGAAGGCACGCUGGCGCGUAGGUGAAGUCCCUUGCGGAUGGAGCUGAAGCCAGUCGCAGAUACCAGCUGGCUGCAACUGUUUAAUAAAAACACAGCACUGUGCAAACACGAAAGUGGACGUAUACGGUGUGACGCCUGCCCGGUGCCGGAAGGUUAAUUGAUGGGGUCAGCCGCAAGGCGAAGCUCUUGAUCGAAGCCCCGGUAAACGGCGGCCGUAACUAUAACGGUCCUAAGGUAGCGAAAUUCCUUGUCGGGUAAGUUCCGACCUGCACGAAUGGCGUAAUGAUGGCCAGGCUGUCUCCACCCGAGACUCAGUGAAAUUGAACUCGCUGUGAAGAUGCAGUGUACCCGCGGCAAGACGGAAAGACCCCGUGAACCUUUACUAUAGCUUGACACUGAACCUUGAGCCUUGAUGUGUAGGAUAGGUGGGAGGCUUUGAAGUGUGGACGCCAGUCUGCAUGGAGCCAACCUUGAAAUACCACCCUUUAAUGUUUGAUGUUCUAACGUAGGCCCGUAAUCCGGGUUGCGGACAGUGUCUGGUGGGUAGUUUGACUGGGGCGGUCUCCUCCCAAAGCGUAACGGAGGAGCACGAAGGUUAGCUAAUCCUGGUCGGACAUCAGGAGGUUAGUGCAAAGGCAUAAGCUAGCUUGACUGCGAGAGUGACAGCUCGAGCAGGUGCGAAAGCAGGUCUUAGUGAUCCGGUGGUUCUGAAUGGAAGGGCCAUCGCUCAACGGAUAAAAGGUACUCCGGGGAUAACAGGCUGAUACCGCCCAAGAGUUCAUAUCGACGGCGGUGUUUGGCACCUCGAUGUCGGCUCAUCACAUCCUGGGGCUGAAGUAGGUCCCAAGGGUAUGGCUGUUCGCCAUUUAAAGUGGUACGCGAGCUGGGUUUAGAACGUCGUGAGACAGUUCGGUCCCUAUCUGCCGUGGGCGUUGGAAGAUUGAGAGGGGUUGCUCCUAGUACGAGAGGACCGGAGUGAACGCACCACUGGUGUACGGGUUGUGAUGCCAAUUGCAUUGCCCGGUAGCUAAGUGCGGAAGAGAUAACCGCUGAAAGCAUCUAAGCGGGAAACUUGCCUCGAGAUGAGUCUUCCCUGGGCACUAGAUGCCCCUGAAGGGCCGUUGAAGACGACGACGUAGAUAGGCUGGGUGUGUAAGCGUAGCGAUACGUUGAGCUAACCAGUACUAAUGACCCGAGAGGCUUAACCUU